GCACCUGGUGGAUGAGUGGCGAACGGGUGAGUAACACGUGAGUAACCUGCCCCUGAUUUCGGGAUAAGCCUGGGAAACUGGGUCUAAUACCGGAUACGACCACCGAACGCAUGUUCGGUGGUGGAAAGUUUUUCGAUCGGGGAUGGGCUCGCGGCCUAUCAGCUUGUUGGUGGGGUAAUGGCCUACCAAGGCGACGACGGGUAGCCGGCCUGAGAGGGCGACCGGCCACACUGGGACUGAGACACGGCCCAGACUCCUACGGGAGGCAGCAGUGGGGAAUAUUGCACAAUGGGGGAAACCCUGAUGCAGCGACGCAGCGUGCGGGAUGACGGCCUUCGGGUUGUAAACCGCUUUCAGCAGGGAAGAAGCGAAAGUGACGGUACCUGCAGAAGAAGUACCGGCUAACUACGUGCCAGCAGCCGCGGUAAUACGUAGGGUACGAGCGUUGUCCGGAAUUAUUGGGCGUAAAGAGCUCGUAGGUGGUUGGUCACGUCUGCUGUGGAAACGCAACGCUUAACGUUGCGCGUGCAGUGGGUACGGGCUGACUAGAGUGCAGUAGGGGAGUCUGGAAUUCCUGGUGUAGCGGUGAAAUGCGCAGAUAUCAGGAGGAACACCGGUGGCGAAGGCGGGACUCUGGGCUGUAACUGACACUGAGGAGCGAAAGCAUGGGGAGCGAACAGGAUUAGAUACCCUGGUAGUCCAUGCCGUAAACGUUGGGCAC
rnacentral:rRNA from 1 species